AGGGGAGCCCCGUUUCGAAAUAAUCAGGAGCGAUUUAUUCCGACGGAGUGACAGCUCUUUUGAAGGGAAAGCGAAAGGCGUUUUCUGUCUCUCUGAAAGCUUUUCUUCCAGAUUGUGUUCAGAUUAGGCUGGGGGGAUGAAUGGCGGCUUUAUCCAGACCAGGAGCUUUUCUGAAAUGCCAAAUUAAUUACCAAGGCCUGAAUCAAGGCAACGGGGACUGGAGGAAAGAGAAGGACCAAAACGAAGAAGAACGGGUUGGGCUGGACAGNGCGGGGGAACCGGAGGGGGGCGGUGGAUAGAAAAGAAGCGAAAUAUAAUAGCGUUUGGGCCCGUGUAAAAUUAACUCCUGGGAUCGUUUCGGCCCUAACUGACUGGAAGGCUGGCUGGUGGAGACCGAGGGGGAAAGAUUUCAGGCCUUUUGCUGACAUCAGGGAAGGUAAUCCAACAGCAGCCAAUGAAGCUUCCCUAAAGUGGGCAUAUUUUCCCAGGGUGGACCACAUUCUCAUCUUGAGUGAGAACAACCAGAUCAGCCCUUCAGUAUACAAAGAGAGACCUUGGGGAAGAUUAAGGCAUGCCAACAUAUGUAUCCCAUAA
rnacentral:lncRNA from 1 species